AAUUGGAAAUUGAUUGGCAACUAUAUGUUCCAUACGGGCCUCAGGCCAGUGGGCAAGUAGAAAAGAUGAACCAUCUGAUCAAACAACAGAUUAGUAAAAUAUGUCAGGAAAUGAAUUUCUAUUGGUACCAAGGUUUACCACUGGCUCUAUUAAGAAUUUGACCUAAACCUCGGUCAAAAGAAGAGAUUAGCCCUUUUGAAAUUUUACAUGGAAGACCAUAUCAGUCCCAGUUUAAAGGAGAAAGUCUUCAGGAAGUGGGAGAAGGCUAUCUCUGACAGUUUCUGAUCAAUCUGGGAAAACAAUUGGAGGAGAUAAAUGAGAGAAUAAUAGGGACAAGAGCAAGAGGUUUGGAUUAUCCAAUUCACCCUUUCAGAUCUGGAGACUGGGUUUAUGUUAAGAAUUUUUCAGGAGAUCCUCUACAGAAGUGGAACGGACCGUACCAGAUAUUACUGACCACCUUUACAGCAGUGAAGAUAAAGGAACAACCUGCUUGGAUACAUUAUUCAAGAAUAAAGAAAGCACCAGAGCCAGAGAAGACAUGGCGGAUCGAACCUUCAGGACCCUUACACAUGAAAUUGCAUCGGUCAUAAUUUGGACUCAUAUGAUAACUGGUGCACAAACUUGGGACCAGAAUUUAUACCUGAAAUUAGUGCAGAAUGUUGCUAAGGUUUUAAUCGUAGUGACUGUUGGGUGUGUGCACAGUUGCCUAAAUCAGGAGAAAUCCUGGAUCUCCCAUUAAUUGGAGUUCCAGUUCCUAACAUUAUCUCAUGGACAAAUUUGUGGGUGAACACUAGCAAUCUACGUCUGAGGGAAAGAUUAACAUUUGGAAUAGUUAAUCCUAAUCCAGGUAAUAAAUAUUAUACCCGAGCACAAAGAUGUAUUACACCAGGAACCAGGGUUGGAGAUCAUGCUUCUUUAAAUGCCACAGAUGUAGGUCACCAUUCAAAUUGCAAUCAUACUAUUAAUAUAGAUGGUAUCGUAGUUCAGUGGUGGCCCGUUCCUAAAAGGAAAGGAUGGUAUUGGUUAUGUGGAGAAAAUGCUUAUAAGACUCUACCCCCCAACUGGAAGGGGGCAUGCACUUUAGGUGCUGUAAUACCCAAUUUUACUAUUAUCAACAGGUAUCCUUCCGGGACCUGGAUUAGAAGUUUUGCUAAACAAAUUAAGCAAGGGUUUAACCCUAUUAUUGAAUGGCACACCACAUUUCAUAGUUUUGUAAGAGGGCUAAUUCCAUCUUUGGGAGUAAGUGAAUUAGAGAAGGCAAUCGUAAAUAUCUCAGCAACCAUAGAGGAAAUGGAAACCUAUUUAAGGUGAUAUUACAAAACCAAAUGGCUCUAGACAUGUUACUGGCAUCACAAAGAGGGGUUUGUUCCAUAAUCAAUGAAAGUUGUUGUUCCUAUAUAGACCAAAGUGACAGAAUUGAAACAGAUCCUGAGGAAAUUUGGAAACAAACUAAGAUAUUUCAUGAAAUGGCCAUGGAUGACAUCUCCUGGGGUUUUGAAGAAAUACGGAAAAAGUUGACUUCAUAGUUACUUAAUCUCUCCUGGUUGAGGCAACUGGUUGCAGGAAUAUUGAUGUUAAUUGUUUUAAUAUUGAUUACUUGUAGUAUGAUACAAUGUUCCCUCUGGUGUUGUAAAUGGUCUAUGAUAAAUUAUGAAGACUGGAAGAGAAAUGAAAUCAAGCAUCAAGUAGAAAUGGGAAAUGAUUUCAAAAAUACUUUAGACAGCAAUGGUAGCAUAUAAAGUGUUGCAAAAGAAUUUGCAAAAGGAC